rfam:Brachypodium distachyon strain Bd21 chromosome 5, whole genome shotgun sequence.
ACGACCUUACUUGAACAGGAUCUGUUCUAUAGGAUCGUACCGCUAUAUCCUUGACUAAUAAGGAGGCAAGAACUUAAGCCUGGUUGAUGACUCAUGACCUGUGGGCCAGAGCGUGAUUAACUGCACGGGUUAGAUGAUGAAAUCCAAUCCACGGCAGUAGAGGAUCGUUCCUGUUCAGCUUUAGCUGACCAGGGUGGCUCUCAGGUUGUCUGACAGGCU